rnacentral:snoRNA from 1 species
AAUUUCUGAUCAAGAUCUUAUUCUCCAAAUCCUUGCAGGUCUCGGAUCAGAAUAUGACUCCUUGGUUGUUUCAGUUUCUACUCGCAUAGAGUCUACUACCAUUGAUGAUAUUCACCGUCUUUUGUUGAGUUUUGAAU